rnacentral:misc_RNA from 1 species
AACGCACAUUGCGCCCUCUGGUAUUCCGGGGGGCAUGCCUGUUCGAGCGUCAUUACAACCCUCAAGCUCUGCUUGGUAUUGGGCCUCACCGGUUCUGGUGGGCCUUAAAAUCAGUGGCGGUGCCAUUCGGCUUCAAGCGUAGUAAUUCUUCUCGCUUCUGGAGUUCCGGGUGUGUGCUUGCCAUCAACCCCCAAUUAUAUCAAAGGUUGACCUCGGAUCAGGUAGGGAUACCCGCUGAACUUAAAACGCACCUUGCGCUCUCGGGCUAUUCCUGAGAGCAUGCUUGUUUGAGUGUCGCGUACCUCUCAACCCCGCCCUUUCCUUAAAACCGAAAGGGUCGAUUCGGGUUGGAUCAUGGCGCCCCUGUCGGUCCGCCGACUGCGCUGAAUUGCAGCAAGCCGAAUCCAUAGGCUAGGCGGCUUGACCCGUUGUCAUAAGCUCACACUUUCAAUGGGAACGCCAUCCGGAAUGGGCUUACCACAAAUCCAUCUUUUAUACAUUGACCUCAAAUCAAGUAGGACUACCCGCUGAACUUAA